rnacentral:lncRNA from 1 species
UGGGAACUAAAGUUGACUACGCAUGCUGGAAACACAAUACAACGGGAUACUCAAACCCCUGUCCACUGAGAACGCAGUUUCGACAGUUGUCGACAACUAAACCAGUGACUCCCACACACGGGGAAAAAUGGUCAAAAACGUUGUACUUUGUCGACAAGAAAAGCAGUUUUCCUUUUCGAAAAGGGACAUUGCUUAGUUGUCGAUAACUAAAAAUUAAGCGUUUUGUUUUCGACUACUCAUCUGGCGUACAGAUAUAUUUUAGUUGUCGAUAACAAAUAGUUUGCCGACAACUUAAGGUGUAGUCUGAGCACUUACUUGCGGUGUUCCGCUAGAGAGAACAAUAACUGGAGCUCUAAGAGUUGUUGUGUCCUUUAGUCGAGAUAAAAUCUGAAAUAUGUUUGCAGUUUCUUUGUUUUAUCUUUGUUUCCUUCAGCUUUGACAGUCUCGACUCCCUAGCUUUGUACGGCUCUUUUUUUGCCAUUGUUUUCUUGAGGCUUACCACAAUUAUUCGUGCCGGCUGACAGGAGAUAUGGUCGACCGUAUUGACUGUGAGCACGUGAAAAAAGUUUACAAAACUUUUCAAGAUGCAGGGUGUAUGUUCUCAAACAAACACAAAAAACAUGCAAAUAGUUUUCAAGGCAUACCUUUAUCUUGAGGUGACUGAAGAAUGUCGGGAAGUGCUUAACAAAGAGUUUAUGGCCACAAAGAACCUUUCUACAAGACUUGCAAUGAAAGUUAAAAUCCUUGCUGAACGUAACGAGAGAGGUUAACGAGAAUUUUAUUACCCGCUUGCCUCCUAACUCCGAGUUUUGGUCAAAGAAGUUGCACAUGAUUGAUGUCAUGAUGAGAUGGAGACGUAUAUACAUUCAGGUUUGACGGCUUUGUCGAAGUAUCUUUGAAUCGAGAGCCGCAAGCGACGGUCAGUUGCAGACGGUGAGAUUUGCUGGCCCACUAAUAAACCUUGACAAGAACAUCAUUGAAGAGGUGAUUUCUGAAGAGAUUGCCUCAUUGCCUGAAAGAAUUUCAGCAGCAACAAGGUGGAAGAAGGCAUGAAGAAACCAAGCAAAAAAAGGAUCAUCACCUGAUCAGGAAGACCCCAAUGGAGGAAAACAAAAUACAAGAAAAAGUGUAAUGUGGUACCACUCGGGCAAAUACAUUGCCACACCUGUGUUUGAUUGUUGGGGCCAGAACUGUGUUGAGGAUAGCAGGCAUUUGAUGUAUCAAUGAUUGUCACUUGGGCAAGGAAAGGGAAAAUACUCUUGUUUGAUUGGUAUCUAUGAGCUUCUUGGUAAAUGUUUGGAUGGACUGUUUUGGUACACAAUGUGGUGCAAGUAGACACUAACACAGGUAUUACUCACUUCUGGU